UAUUCAAACCCUAACUUCAUCUCUUCAUCAAGAAAUUCUUAUUCGUGACACCGUCUCUAUUCAAACCCUAACUUCACCUUCUUCAUUAAGAAAUUUCUGGUCAUUGUUUUGAAUGUUGCUUGCUAUGUUACAGAAUUGAUGAGCAGAUCAAUCGCUAUUUGUAAUUGAAACCCUAACUAUCAAAAAGCGAUUCCGAUUCCGUCAAUCUUGCCUAAAAUCAGAGGAAGGCAGAUUCGGUGGUUCCGGUUCUGUUUUCUUCUUUCUCCUUAGUCGAAAGAAUUGCUGCAAAAUUCAGCACCGCCGCCAGCACCCUUCUUCUUACCGACAUUGUGUCUUUUGCUUGCAAUUGGGUUGCUCCAAGUUCGAUUCAUCAGUAUGGCUUGAUAAGAAUUGGGCUUUGGUUUGUUUAAAUUCAUAUAUUCAAGCUCUAUUACAAUAAAUAAGUGGAUUCUUGCUGAUCGCAACCAGCAUGUUUGGCAUCUAGCCAUCUAAGUGUGUUAUGCUGUGAGAUGGUUGAAGCAGCUGCAUCAAGACCAGGAAUCACGGGCCCUUGGAUCACUAAAUCAUAUCUUGAAAUGAUUCUGUCAUUGCAGCCAAUGUUAUUACCGAUCGAGAUUCCAUAAGGUUUUGAGGAUUUGGUUUUAUUAGUUUUACAUCAACUGACGCAGCUGAUAGCGCUCUCUGUUUCCCUGCAUAAAAACCUAAAUCAAAGAGACGAACUCUCAUCCAGAUCUGGAUCAAGAUGUAGAAGGCGAGCUGUGGUUGUUUUCUUCGAUAUCGUUGAAGAACAUAUACACUGAUCUUCAGGAUGUCGGGGUUUGCUUCUUCAAAGAUGAUAUACGCUGUUUAAGAAUUUGGAUGACCUGGAGGAAGAGGACUCUAUAGAAUUGAUAAGCUGCUGGCUACCAAUCUUUAAUGGGAACACAUCGUCAUGGAGUCAUGGCCAGUGGAGACCAAUCCUCACUCACAAAAGAACUCUUUCUUAGGUGUUGGGCAAUCAAAUGAAGUUCAAUGGGCAUUUAUUGUUAGUGAUUUAGUGAUACUACCAUAAUACAAAUUACAUCAUUUGAUGACCCAAAGAAAAAGAAGAAUAAAAGGUGUUCAUUCAAGACCCUGUUCAAAAGUUGUUAGUUUACCCUAACAUCUCAUUUUAAGACCUCAAGAUCACCACUAGGUAGGGUAUGGAGGGAUGUUGUAGCUCGAGCAAUGCAGGGUUGUCAUGCUCAACAUUUCUUAGAUUUUUGUGAGGCUUUACACAAAAUGGGUCGAUUCGUAUAAUGUGUUAUCUAGAAAAUGGGUGGUAAAACGUAAAGUAGGUAGUUGAACGGGUCUGGUUGGUUGCGUAAUGGAUUAAAUGAAUAACUUUUAGUACGGAUACAAAUGGGUCGAGUUGGGUGACCUGUCGAGAAUAUGUGUUCAUUUUUAUUGUUUUUUAAAUAAAUGAUGAAUAGAUAAGAUUGUAAAAGUAUAUUGAUUGCUUCCUCCUUCACGCCGCUUUCUUCUUUCGUCUUCCUUCUGUUUGAUUUGAAGUGAACCAAAUAAUUAGGGUUUCCACUUCUUGCGUUUGCGAUUGAAAAGUUACAAUUGUUGAUUUCGGAUAUUGAUUUAUAGCUUCAAACGAAACCUAAACAGCUUAAAGCUCCGAUGUUGACUUAAGGUGAACUUUUAUUUCUUUCGAUCAAAAAAGUUGGGAACAUAUAUACUGAUUAUCUUCUUCAAGAGAUUACGGUAGAAUGAAGGUCGAAAUUUUUUAUGAGGUUUUGUUUCGGAUUCGCAACUGCAUGCUCGAUUUUAGGAAAAAUAGGGUUUGAUUAAAUUUGUUAUUACACUUGCGGAGUAGAGGUCUGUUACAAACUGUAGAAACAAACAAGAACCGUCCAAACCAAAGAAAGGCAGCUGGUUUUGCCAAUUUAAAAUAUGAUUCCUUUAGGAAAACAGAGAAUCUGACAUUGUUCUUUUACAUUUGGAUGGCAAAUGUCCUAUUUUUUAGCUUAAAAUGUUAUAAUAUGAUGAUCUUUAAGGAAUGGUAUAGCUCUUUCAAGUGAGUGUGCUAUCAAAACAAGCUGAAAUAAUCCGGAUUCCUUUUCCAUGAGGUGCAAAGAAGGUAAUUUUCGGUAGCUUCAUUUGGUUCGUUUCAUUGAUGAGGCACCUCAAUUGCAGGAGGCAGCAUGAUGAUUUCACUUUGUUGUGUGUUUUGUUACCAUUGAGUACUAAAUGGAAUACAUUUGGAUAGAGUUUUGAAUGUCAACAGUUCACUUAAAAGUAUUCUAUAUUCUCAGUUUAAGCUAGAGU
rnacentral:lncRNA from 1 species